rnacentral:rRNA from 1 species
AUGAACGCUGGCGGCGUGCCUAAUACAUGCAAGUCGAGCGAACAGACGAGGAGCUUGCUCCUCUGACGUUAGCGGCGGACGGGUGAGUAACACGUGGAUAACCUACCUAUAAGACUGGGAUAACUUCGGGAAACCGGAGCUAAUACCGGAUAAUAUAUUGAACCGCAUGGUUCAAUAGUGAAAGACGGUUUUGCUGCCACUUAUAGAUGGAUCCGCGCCGCAUUAGCUAGUUGGUAAGGUAACGGCUUACCAAGGCGACGAUGCGUAGCCGACCUGAGAGGGUGAUCGGCCACACUGGAACUGAGACACGGUCCAGACUCCUACGGGAGGCAGCAGUAGGGAAUCUUCCGCAAUGGGCGAAAGCCUGACGGAGCAACGCCGCGUGAGUGAUGAAGGUCUUCGGAUCGUAAAACUCUGUUAUUAGGGAAGAACAAAUGUGUAAGUAACUAUGCACGUCUUGACGGUACCUAAUCAGAAAGCCACGGCUAACUACGUG